rnacentral:rRNA from 1 species
CGGGGUGAGUAACGCGUGAGCAAUCUGCCUCUACCAAUGGGAUAACACUUAGAAAUAGGUGCUAAUACCGUAUAAGACCGCGAGCCUGCAUGGGCAUGUGGUAAAAGCUCCGACGGGUAGAGAUGAGCUCGCGUCCCAUUAGCUAGUUGGUAGGGUAACGGCCUACCAAGGCGACGAUGGGUAGCCGACCUGAGAGGGUGAUCGGCCACAUUGGAACUGAGAAACGGUCCAAACUCCUACGGAAGGCAGCAG